rnacentral:rRNA from 1 species
AGAGUUUGAUCAUGGCUCAGGAUGAACGCUAGCUACAGGCUUAACACAUGCAAGUCGAGGGGAAACGAUAUUGGAAGCUUGCUUCCGAUAGGCGUCGACCGGCGUACGGGUGAGUAACGCGUAUCCAACCUGCCCACCACUUGGGGAUAACCUUGCGAAAGUAAGACUAAUACCCAAUGACGUCUCUAGAAGACAUCUGAAAGAGAUUAAAGAUUUAUCGGUGAUGGAGUGGGGAUGCGUCUGAUUAGCUUGUUGGCGGGGUAACGGCCCACCAAGGCGACGAUCAGUAGGGGUUCUGAGAGGAAGGCCCCCCACAUUGGAACUGAGACACGGUCCAAACUCCUACGGGAGGCAUCA